ACUCAAAGGAAUUGACGGGGGCCCGCACAAGCGGUGGAGCAUGUGGUUUAAUUCGACGCAACGCGAAGAACCUUACCUGGGUUGGAAUCCUCCCGAGUCCGCCAGAAAUGGCGGAGUGCCCUUCGGGGAGCGGGAUGUUCAGGUGCUGCAUGGCUGUCGUCAGCUCGUGUCGUGAGAUGUUGGGUUAAGUCCCGCAACGAGCGCAACCCUUGUCGCUAGUUGCCAGCGGUUCGGCCGGGCACUCUAGCGAAACUGCCGGUGUUAAACCGGAGGAAGGUGGGGAUGACGUCAAGUCCUCAUGGCCCUCAUGCCCAGGGCUACACACGUGCUACAAUGGCGGUUACAACGGGCUGCGACACCGCGAGGUGAAGCCAAUCCCUAAAAAGCCGCCUCAGUUCGGAUAGGAGUCUGCAACUCGACUCCUUGAAGCCGGAAUCGCUAGUAAUCGGAGAUCAGAACGCUCCGGUGAAUACGUUCCCGGGCCUUGCACACACCGCCCGU
rnacentral:rRNA from 1 species